rnacentral:rRNA from 1 species
UACGGAGGGUGCAAGCGUUAUCCGGAUUCACUGGGUUUAAAGGGUGCGUAGGAGGGCAGGUAAGUCAGUGGUGAAAUCUCCGAGCUUAACUCGGAAACUGCCGUUGAUACUAUCUGUCUUGAAUCCCGUGGAGAUGAGCGGAAUAUGUCAUGUAGCGGUGAAAUGCUUAGAUAUGACAUAGAACACCAAUUGCGAAGGCAGCUCGUUACACGAAGAUUGACUCUGAGGCACGAAAGCGUGGGGAGUCAAACAGG